GUUCCUCAUUACCAAAAUAUUAGACUGGACGGAAGAGAAGAGAAAAAAAUGGAACGGUUGAGAAAGAAAAUGGCGACUAGGGUUUUCCUUUUCUCACUGUGCGCGUAGUUGGCAUCUCCUGUUUCGACCACCACAUACCAAGAAUUCAUCUUAGUUACUAUAAGAUGAUAUCACGGAGUAACUAUAAGAUGGAGCUUGUAUGAGGCAUUUCAAACAGGAGAUUUCAUAUUUGACUAGGAAUAGGAUUCAAACAGACAAUCAACCUUUUAAGGUUGCUAUGCAAAACAUUUGAUGAAAAAAAAUCGUCAACACGAUGAAGUCAAAACUUGUUUCAGCUUCAAGGAGGGCUAAUAAUCACGGCUCAAGUUGAAAAGGGUAGUGUGCUUUAUUAGUAUUUUAACUUUUAUCCAUACGGUUUGCUUUUUUUUUUUUUUUUUUUAUUAGUUUUUGUCGAAUUGAACAAUUGCAGAUAUGAAAUGAAUAUGGACCAGUAGAGUGGGAAACUGGUGCUUCUAGUUAAGUGAAUACUGCAUGAGCAGUAAAAUGGUUGUUGGACUUGAUCGAUACAGGUGUUUCAUAGAUCAUGUGCAAACAAGCCUCUAAUCCCAUAAUAGAUACUUGCAAUGGUUUCUAGUGUGAAGGCUUCACUCCUAACGAAUCCUAUAAACUGAAAAUGUGGACUGAAGUCUGCACUAGCUGUAGAUUCUGGAGCACUUGACUUCUGUUCAUCUUAAUUGAGUCAUGUGACGAGGCAAAUGAAAGAUGAGCAUUGGCGGCUGCUUAGAAUUAGUCGCACGAUUAUAGUACUGUUGGAUAAUUUGGUAUUUCAAGGAUUUUGAUGUAUUGGAUGGAUGAUAUUGAGCUGGAUUUGAAAAUCCGAUUUCUUUAUGUUUUGAUUAUAAAAAAAAAUUAAUAUUUUUUUUGUGA